rnacentral:lncRNA from 1 species
AGAUGGCGGCGGYGGGGCUCUGAGAGGCGCGGCGGCCCCUGCAGGAGAAGACUGAUAAGUACUUUGGACCUGUUGGUAAUGAUGGCCUGAGCUACACACCUAAUUUGAAGGGUUACCCUUCCGUUUCAAAGAACAUGAUGCUGAGGAAGCUAUGGCAAGUGAUUGGAGUUGUGCUUCAAAAAUUUCAGCAGUUCAGCGGUAUUUUAUCUGCCAACAAUAAGCUCUUUACUUGAUUGAACCAUGAAAAAGCUGCUAAUGAGACUUGUUGAGCACAAAAGUGGACUUGCAGAACCAAAAGCCAUUGUUUUCAAAUGAAUAAUCCUGAACAGUUUUAAGCUUCAAUGCUUUUUAAUCACCACUGAA